rnacentral:rRNA from 1 species
CUCGGUGGCGGCGUGCUUACCAUGCAGUCGAACGAUGAUGCCCAGCUUGCUGGGUGGAUUAGUGGCGAACGGGUGAGUAACACGUGAGUAACCUGCCCCUGACUCUGGGAUAAGCGUUGGAAACGACGUCUAAUACUGGAUAUGACUGCCGGCCGCAUGGUCUGGUGGUGGAAAGAUUUUUUGGUUGGGGAUGGACUCGCGGCCUAUCAGCUUGUUGGUGAGGUAAUGGCUCACCAAGGCGACGACGGGUAGCCGGCCUGAGAGGGUGACCGGCCACACUGGGACUGAGACACGGCCCAGACUCCUACGGGAGGCAGCAGUGGGGAAUAUUGCACAAUGGGCGAAAGCCUGAUGCAGCAACGCCGCGUGAGGGAUGACGGCCUUCGGGUUGUAAACCUCUUUUAGUAGGGAAGAAGCGUAAGUGACGGUACCUGCAGAAAAAGCACCGGCUAACUACGUGCCAGCAGCCGCGGUAAUACGUAGGGUGCAAGCGUUGUCCGGAAUUAUUGGGCGUAAAGAGCUCGUAGGCGGUUUGUCGCGUCUGCUGUGAAAUCCCGAGGCUCAACCUCGGGCUUGCAGUGGGUACGGGCAGACUAGAGUGCGGUAGGGGAGAUUGGAAUUCCUGGUGUAGCGGUGGAUUGUGCAGAUAUCAGGAGGAACACCGAUGGCGAAGGCAG